UACGAAGGGUGCAAACGUUGCUCGGAAUCAUUGGGCGUAAAGCGCACGUAGGCGGCUUUGCAAGUCGGACGUGAAAUCCCUCAGCUCAACUGAGGAAGUGCAUCCGAAACUGCAAGGCUUGAGUACUGAAGAGGAUCGCGGAAUUCCUGGUGUAGCGGUGAAAUGCGCAGAUAUCAGGAAGAACACCCGUGGCGAAGGCGGCUCUCUGGGACGGUACUGACGCUGAGACGCGAAAGCGUGGGGAGCGAACAGG
rnacentral:rRNA from 1 species